CACACAACCACCCACCUUACCCAUCGACCCACCACUCUCCCCACCCUCCACCGCUGCCAUCGUGACGCACCACCCCACCACCAUCUAGCCCCAGCCCGGCCGCCCACAUUCACCUGGCCGGCAACCGGCGACGAUGGGCCGGCCCACCGACCACCGCGGUGCUCCUCCCACCAACCGCCGCUGCCAAACAGGGCCGGAUCUCCCCUCGAUCUCAUGCUUCUUCCCGUCGACUCGCCGACCAGCCCUGUCCCCCUUCCUCCCAUCUUCCUCCCCCGCCAUGGCUGCUAGGAUCCAAUCCAUGGCUGCCCAAUUUGGCGGGCGACCCCCGGAUCCAGGCGAGAGCACCACCACCACCAAGCGCGUGGAGGGGAGUGGAGGGGCGGCGGGGGAUCUCACCGGGUCUCUUCCCCACCUCCGUGGUCUGCCUGCCCGUCCCGCCAUCAGCCACCGCGUCACCGCACCGACCAGAUCCAUGGCGUUAGUCGCGCCGUGCUUUGUGGUGCUACUCCGUCAGAGUUAGGAGGGGGGGUAGGAGCAGCUCCGUCGAGCUUCUGCUGGCGACGGCGAGAUACUUCAGUGCAUCCGGAUCCCCGGCGUUUCGUCUUCUCACCGUCAUCCCUUCUCUGCCAGUUGCCAUCCACCAGGAGGAGAGGGGAGAAACUCCCAGCACCCUUGCACUUUCUGACAUGUACGAGUGCAGUGCGCUAGUCGCGUUGGUGCAGCCCGCUGGCAUCCAGCAGGGGAUGCAGCUCUUCGGUGGGUGAAGUGCGGUCCACGCCGAGCGCCAAUGCAGUGCUGUGCCCCUUGGUGGUUAUGAAAAAAAGCAUGCAGUUUGUUUCGAAUUGGGUCGCGGCUCACUUCCUCCGAUGCAAAAUUCAAAUUGCACUUGUUCCUGCAUGGUGUCGCGUGUUCAAAAAAAAUAAAUUGCAUCGGCACUUGCAGUGCAUUUUGCUGUCGCGUGCGGUUCACUACGCUGGCCUCGCAGUUGAGAUGAAAUUAUAAAGAGAAAAUGCUAGGAAAAAAAUAAUGCAACUCCCUUUGUCGCUAUUGCAAUGCGGUUCAUUUUGUAGUGAGUCAAAGUGGUUCACUUUGUAAAGCAAAAAGAUUGUCGAAAAGAAGUAUGAAGUUCACUAGUCU